CAACAUAAACCAUGUUUUCUGUAGCUCUGCUGCUGCUGUUGGCAGCUGGAUGUGUGAAGUGUGAACAGUUGACACAGCCAGCCUCUGUGACUGUGCAGCCAGGUCAACGUCUGACCAUCACCUGUCAGGUCUCUUAUUCUCUUAGCAGCUACUACACAGCUUGGAUCAGACAGCCUGCAGGGAAAGGACUGGAGUGGAUUGGAAGUGGAUGUGUUGGAUGCACUUCAAGCUACAAAGAUUCACUAAAGAACAAGUUCAGUAUUGACUCAGAUUCUUCCAGCAACACAGUGACUCUAAACGGACAGAAUGUGCAGCCUGAAGACACUGCUGUGUAUUACUGUGAGAUCCACAAUAACACAAACCAUCAGCAGACCUGAACAAAAACCCCUCAGUGCCUGAACACUUGUAACAUGAAGCCACCAGAGGAGGAGCCCUCAGACCACUAAUGACUUCAACACCAGUUCACUGUUA